rnacentral:rRNA from 1 species
UACGGAGGGUGCGAGCGUUAUCCGGAUUUACUGGGUUUAAAGGGUGCGUAGGUGGGCAGGUAAGUCAGUGGUGAAAUCUCCGAGCUUAACUCGGAAACUGCCAUUGAUACUAUCUGUCUUGAAUUAUCUGGAGGUGAGCGGAAUAUGUCAUGUAGCGGUGAAAUGCUUAGAUAUGACAUAGAACACCAAUUGCGAAGGCAGCUCACUACGGAUAUAUUGACACUGAGGCACGAAAGCGUGGGGAUCAAACAGG